AACUACAGCCAAAACUUGCAUUAAGGAGACAAAUGUGCAUCAGUGAACAAAAUGGACCAAAGAUAUUGGGGAAUAGCUCUGAUCCAAGAACAAUCUAAAGAAUCUGAUAAAACAUUUUUGCUACAUAAUCAGCUGCCUUGUUUGCUGAUCUGUUCACUAAAGAGAAACGAACUUCAUUAAAAAGAUCCAUGAGAUCUUUAAUUGCAAGCACUGAAGCUCUAAUUUCCCACGGUAUAGCAUAUGACUGAGCUUGGAUUGCUUGGAACAGCUCUGCAUUAUCAGUUUCAAGAACA
rnacentral:misc_RNA from 1 species